rnacentral:rRNA from 1 species
GCGAUGCAUCUAGAUUAGAGUUUGAUCCUGGCUCAAAAUGAACGCCGGCGGUGUGCCUAAUACAUGCAAGUCGAACGCGUUGGGGGAAUUGAUUGAUGGUGCUUGCACCUGAUUGAUUUUGGUCGCCAACGAGUGGCGGACGGGUGAGUAACACGUAGGUGGCCUGCCCAGAAGCCCCCACAACAUUUGGAAACAGAUGCUAAUACCGCAUAACAGCGUUGUUCGCAUGAACAACGCUUAAAAGAUGGCUUCUCGCUAUCACUUCUGGAUGGACCUGCGGUGCAUUAGCUUGUUGGUGGGGUAACGGCCUACCAAGGCGAUGAUGCAUAGCCGAGUUGAGAGACUGAUCGGCCACAAUGGGACUGAGACACGGCCCAUACUCCUACGGGAGGCAGCAGUAGGGAAUCUUCCACAAUGGGCGCAAGCCUGAUGGAGCAACACCGCGUGAGUGAAGAAGGGUUUCGGCUCGUAAAGCUCUGUUGUUAAAGAAGAACACGUAUGAGAGUAACUGUUCAUACGUUGACGGUAUUUAACCAGAAAGUCACGGCUAACUACGUGCCAGCAGCCGCGGUAAUACGUAGGUGGCAAGCGUUAUCCGGGUUUAUUGGGCGUAAAGAGAGUGCAGGCGGUUUUCUAAGUCUGAUGUGAAAGCCUUCGGCUUAACCGGAGAAGUGCAUCGGAAACUGGAUAACUUGAGUGCAGAAGAGGGUAGUGGAACUCCAUGUGUAGCGGUGGAAUGCGUAGAUAUAUGGAAGAACACCAGUGGCGAAGGCGGCUACCUGGUCUGCAACUGACGCUGAGACUCGAAAGCAUGGGUAGCGAACAGGAUUAGAUACCCUGGUAGUCCAUGCCGUAAACGAUGAGUGCUAGGUGUUGGAGGGUUUCCGCCCUUCAGUGCCGGAGCUAACGCAUUAAGCACUCCGCCUGGGGAGUACGACCGCAAGGUUGAAACUCAAAGGAAUUGACGGGGGCCCGCACAAGCGGUGGAGCAUGUGGUUUAAUUCGCCGCUACGCGAAGAACCUUACCAGGUCUUGACAUCUUGCGCCCCCCCUAGAGAUAGGGCGUUUCCUUCGGGAACGCAAUGACAGGUGGUGCAUGGUCGUCGUCAGCUCGUGUCGUGAGAUGUUGGGUUAAGUCCCGCAACGAGCGCAACCCUUGUUACUAGUUGCCAGCAUUAAGUUGGGCACUCUAGUGAGACUGCCGGUGACAAACCGGAGGAAGGUGGGGACGACGUCAGAUCAUCAUGCCCCUUAUGACCUGGGCUACACACGUGCUACAAUGGACGGUACAACGAGUCGCGAACUCGCGAGGGCAAGCAAAUCACUUCCAACCGUUAUCAGUUCGGACUGCAGGCUGCAACUCGCCUGCACGAAGUCGGAAUCGCUAGUAAUCGCGGAUCAGCAUGCCGCGGUGAAUACGUUCCCGGGCCUUGUACACACCGCCCGUCACACCAUGAGAGUUUGUAACACCCAAAGUCGGUGGGGUAACCUUUUAGGAGCCAACCGCCUAAGGUGGGACAGAUGAUUAGGGUGAAGUCGUAACAAGGCCC